rnacentral:rRNA from 1 species
AGCUCCAAUAGCGUAUAUUAAAGUUGUUGCAGUUAAAAAGCUCGUAGUUGAAUUUCUGAUAGAAGGGAGCGGUUCCGCAUUCUUGCGGAUACUGGCUCGUCUUCCGUCAUCCUUGGGCUUAGUCUCGCUGAUAUUAACUUAUCGGCGUUGACGAUGCCCAUCGUUUACUGUGAGCAAAUUAGAGUGUUCAAAGCAGGCAUUUUGCCAUUGAAUAUAUUAGCAUGGAAUAAUAAGAUAGGAUUUCACGAUUUUAUUUUGUUGGUUUGCGUUGUGAAAUAAUGAUUAAGAGGGACAGUUGUGGGUAUUCGUAUUCAGAUGUCAGAGGUGAAAUUCUUAGAUUAUCGGAAGACGAACGACUGCGAAAGCAUUUACCAAGGAUGUUUUCA